rnacentral:rRNA from 1 species
GCACGGGUGAGUAACGCGCAGACAACCUGCCUAUAACAGGGGGAUAMCCACUCGAAAGGGUGGCUAAUACCGCAUAAUGCAGCGGGGCCGCAUGGUCACAGUUGUUAAAUUCUUCGGAAGGUUAUAGAUGGGUCUGCGUGCCAUUAGUUAGUUGGUAGGGUAACGGCCUACCAAGGCGAUGAUGGCUAGGGGGUCUGAGAGGAUGAUCCCCCACACUGGAACUGAGACACGGUCCAGACUCCUACGGGAGGCAGCAGUGAGGAAUCUUGCGCAAUGGGGGAAACCCUGACGCAGCCACGCCGCGUGCCGGAAGACGGCCCUAUGGGUUGUAAACGGCUUUUGUUUGGGAAGAAUGUACGGGUUUCGACCUGUAUUGACGGUACCAAUUGAAUCAGCACCGGCUAACUCCGUGCCAGCAGCCGCGGUAAUACGGAGGGUGCAAGCGUUGUCCGGAAUCAUUGGGUGUAAAGGGUGCGUAGGCUGGCGCCUAAGUCUGAGGUGAAAUCUUGCCGCUUAACGGUAAAAUGGCCUUGGAUACUGGGUGUCUUGAAUCUGACAGAGGUCGGUGGAAUUCGUAGUGUAGCGGUGAAAUGCAUAGAUAUUACGAAGAACACCAGUGGCGAAGGCGGCCGGCUGGGUCAGUAUUGACGCUGAGGCACGAGAGCGUGGGGAGCGAACAGGAUUAGAUACCCUGGUAGUCCACGCUGUAAACGAUGUAUGCUAGUUGUUGGG